GAUCCGCGACGUGUUUUUUUUCCAAUAUAUGAGAGUGUUUUUCAACGUUGUAACACGCGGAUUUAAUUUUUACAUACAGAUGUAUUUUGUGCACGCACUCUGCACAGUGUUGUCACAACUUACACUUAUGUUUGUUUGGCCACACGACGCGUUCAGCCAUUUUAUGUUUAUUCAUAUCACGUUUUGUUUCUACAAACAUGAUUAGCCCAAUAUGUUGCUAUUACUGUAUAUCAACACAAGCUUCAUUUUGGCAAGUUGCACAAAUUGCACGAUGAGACUUGGUUUUCACAUAUUUCACAAUUUUCGCAUAAUUUAUAUCAUUUUUUAACACAUUUUACAUUGACACCACGAAAUUUUGUUUUAAAUAUUGGUUUCAAAUUACAUUUUCAAAACUUUUAAAUAAAUUAUAGUAACUUUGAGAAGGUUAAAGUGUCCAUUUUGAUAUAUAUACAAAUUUCUUCAAAAUUUAAAAAUGUUACUUUGACAAGAUUAAAAUUUCAAAGAAUUGAACAAUUUUCAAAAUUUAAAAUUUCGUUUUAUUGGAAAAUUUCUUUAUACUUCCUUUACAAAAAUUUUUUAAAUUAUUCAAAGAUUUUUUAAUUUCACCGGGGAAAAUUGGGAUCAGGAUUUCCCCCAAAGUCCCAAAACUCUUCAUAAUUGGCAAACGUUUGGAAUAAUGGGAUAAAUUUACAGUUUCCAGAGUUGCAAUUUAACCCUUUCAAAACUAACAAAAGUUAAUUUGCUUUGGAAAGGCCAUUUCCUCCCGGGGGGGGGUGAUAACACCGCCCCCCCCCUACAAAAAGCGAUAAAAUCUAUCCCCUCCUCGGGGUUUUCAACCAGUAAAAACCCACCCCGUUUAAGGCCAAAUCCGUAAAAUCUAUGGAAGAUACUUUUCGCAUUUACUCACCUCCUGCCACUUUUCAAUUACUUUAGCCUCUGGCUAUAGGAAAUUGUUAGUGGCAGACGGGUGAGUAAUGCGUAGGAAUCUACCUAGUAGUACGGAAUAGCCAUUAGAAAUGGUGGGUAAUACUGUAUAAUCCCCGAGGGGGAAAGAUUUAUCGCUAUUAGAUGAGCCUACGUUAGAUCAGCUAGUUGGUGAGGUAAUGGCUUACCAAGGCUAUGAUCUAUAGCUGGUCUGAGAGGACGAUCAGCCACACUGGAACUGAGAUACGGUCCAGACUCCUACGGGAGGCAGCAGUGGGGAAUAUUGGACAAUGGGCGAAAGCCUGAUCCAGCUAUGCCGCGUGAGUGAAGAAGGCUUCGGGUUAACUCACCGC
rnacentral:rRNA from 1 species